rnacentral:tRNA from 1 species
GGAGAGAUGGCUGAGUGGUUGAAGGCAGCGGUCUUGAAAACCGCCAGGGGUGAAAGCUCCUCGAGGGUUCGAAUCCCUCUCUCUCCGCCA